rnacentral:lncRNA from 1 species
UGUCUCUGUAUCCUGCUGGACUAUAUGCCCUUUAAAGCAAGUAGAGCACAUUACUCAUCACUCAAUCUCCAGGACCAAGUUAAUGUUCUGUAUAUAGUAAUGUCGACAGCAACAUCUCCCCCAGGUGUAACAACUAAACGUGUCUCCAGACAUUGGCAAAUAUCCUUGGGCCAUGGAGAAAACAUCACCUUCAAUUGAAAACCACUGGGCCACUCUAAUGCCUUCAAGGGACAGAUCCCAGGUCUAAACCCUAGCCAAAACCCCUUGUGUUAGAGGAGCUCACCCUUUACUGCUGAUGAAAUCUCCAUGAUGAAGUGCUUUCCUGGUGACACCCAGAGAUCGUUUGCUAUGUGAAUGCUUUUCUUGCUCAAAUUUCAACAAACAUGAUUGUACUAAAUCGCUAACACCUGGAAUUUCAAAGACAACAGUGGAAAGGAAAUGAGACUUGGAAUCAAAAGACUUCAGUUUCAAUCUAAAGUCCCUGAAUGUGUAAACUAUUGUGAUUUUUCUUAGCUACAGUCCUCUCACUUAUAAAAUGUUUACUGUC